UACGUAGGGUGCGAGCGUUAAUCGGAAUUACUGGGCGUAAAGCGUGCGCAGGCGGUUUGAGAAGUCCGAUGUGAAAGCCCCGGGCUCAACCUGGGAACUGCAUUUGUGACUGCAUCGCUGGAGUGCGGCAGAGGGGGAUGGAAUUCCGCGUGUAGCAGUGAAAUGCGUAGAUAUGCGGAGGAACACCGAUGGCGAAGGCAAUCCCCUGGGCCUGCACUGACGCUCAUGCACGAAAGCGUGGGGAGCAAACAGG
rnacentral:rRNA from 1 species